rnacentral:rRNA from 1 species
UACGUAGGGUGCGAGCGUUAAUCGGAAUUACUGGGCGUAAAGCGUGCGCAGGCGGCUUUGCAAGACAGAUGUGAAAUCCCCGGGCUCAACCUGGGAACUGCAUUUGUGACUGCAAGGCUAGAGUACGGCAGAGGGGGAUGGAAUUCCGCGUGUAGCAGUGAAAUGCGUAGAUCUGCGGAGGAACACCAAUGGCGAAGGCAAUCCCCUGGGCCUGUACUGACGCUCAUGCACGAAAGCGUGGGGAGCAAACAGG